rnacentral:miRNA from 1 species
GAACGUUGUGUUAUAGGAA